rnacentral:rRNA from 1 species
AGUUUGAUUCUGGCUCAGAUUGAACGCUGGCGGCAGGCCUAACACAUGCAAGUCGAGCGGGGUUUUCGGACCUAGCGGCGGACGGGUGAGUAAUGCGUAGGAAGCUACCCGAUAGAGGGGGAUACCAGUUGGAAACGACUGUUAAUACCGCAUAAUGUCUACGGACCAAAGUGUGGGACCUUCGGGCCACAUGCUAUCGGAUGCGCCUACGUGGGAUUAGCUAGUUGGUGGGGUAAUGGCUCACCAAGGCGACGAUCCCUAGCUGGUUUGAGAGGAUGAUCAGCCACACUGGAACUGAGACACGGUCCAGACUCCUACGGGAGGCAGCAGUGGGGAAUAUUGGACAAUGGGCGCAAGCCUGAUCCAGCCAUGCCGCGUGUGUGAAGAAGGCCUUCGGGUUGUAAAGCACUUUCAGCGAGGAGGAAGGGUUAGUAGUUAAUAGCUGCUAAUUUUGACGUUACUCGCAGAAGAAGCACCGGCUAACUCUGUGCCAGCAGCCGCGGUAAUACAGAGGGUGCAAGCGUUAAUCGGAAUUACUGGGCGUAAAGCGCACGUAGGCGGUUUUUUAAGUCAGAUGUGAAAGCCCCGGGCUCAACCUGGGAAUUGCAUUUGAAACUGGAAAACUAGAGUGUGUGAGAGGGGGGUAGAAUUCCAAGUGUAGCGGUGAAAUGCGUAGAGAUUUGGAGGAAUAC